CACGGGGGGAACGCGAAGAACCUUACCAAGCCUUGACAUCCCCCUGACAGGACAGUAACGCCUCCUUUUCUUCGGAACAGGGGUGACAGGUGGUGCAUGGUUGUCGUCAGCUCGUGUCGUGAGAUGUUGGGUUAAGUCCCGCAACGAGCGCAACCCUUACCUUCAGUAGCCAGCACGUAAAGGUGGGCACUCUGGAGGGACUGCCAGGGACAACCUGGAGGAAGGUGGGGAUGACGUCAAAUCAUCAUGCCCCUUAUGGCUUGGGCUACACACGUGCUACAAUGGCGUAAACAAAGGGAAGCAGCCCUGUGAAGGUGAGCAAACCCCAAAAAUAACGUCCCAGUUCGGAUUGUAGUGGUG
rnacentral:rRNA from 1 species